GGCAGCAAGGAUGAUUGAGAACAGGAACGGCUCAGGAUGUUCACAAGCAAGUCAUGAAUAGCUAGGAAUUCCCUUUAAGAGCAAAGGUUUUAUCAUCAGAGAGACCUACCUGCAGGGAUCUCAUUCUGUUGCCCAGACUGGAGUACAGUGGUGUGAUCACAGUUCACUGCAGCCUCAACUUCCUCCCACCUCAGCCUCCCAAGUUGCUUGGACUACAGAUAUUACUAUAUGAAGAUGUAACGUUUGGAGCUGCAGGAAUCAUUUUGGGAUCAUGAGGCAAUCAACCUGAGAAUGAAAGCCAAUAAGUUGAAGAUAGCAGAACAGAAGAAAGAACCUGGAUUCUUGGUGACACUUUUGGUCUCCAAAACUACUCUGAGAUGGCCAGCUUUGAACUCACCAAGUCAAUAAUGAAAGCUUGUAUGGUUUAAAUCAUGAUUAGUUGGCUUUUUUGUUAAUUGCCACAAUGUCUUACCUGUGGUCAUCACAGUAGAAAAGUGAGGGAGCAAAAAUCCUAACCUGCUACAAAGGUCACUCAGAGAUAGCCUCUUUUCCAUACCCAGACAGGAUGCAUAUCCUUGGUUAAUCUUCUAUGAGUCUCAGCAGUCUUUAUCCUUCCCUUCCACAUGUCUCAGCUCCAUCAGAUGAAGCUUUUUUAUUCAUCUACAUUCUCUUCUUCAUUGCUUUCCUUUUCCAAUUCUCUCCCAGGCAGAAUUCAUUUUUCUCAUUUGAAGUCUGACAUGGUUUGGCUUUGCGUCCUCAUCCAAAUUUCAUCUUGAAUUGUAAUCCCUGGGAGUUGAGGGAGAGACCUGGUGGGAGGUGACUGGAUCAUGGGGACAGAUUUCCCCCAUGCUGUUCUCAUGAUAGCAAGUGAGUUCUCAUGAGAUCUGAUGGUUUUAUAAGGGACUGUUUCCCCUUCACUCUCCCUCCCUUCCCUCCUGCUACCUUGUGAAGAAGUGCCUGCUGCCCCUUCGCCUUCUGCCAUGAUUGUAAGUUUCCUGAGGCCUCCCAAAGCCAUGCAGAACUCCAAGUUAAUUAAGCCCAGUCUCAGGUAUUUCUUCAUAGUAGUAAUGAACUUCAUAGCAGUAACAGACUAAUACAAAGUCUCAGGGUCUUAGUAUUUAUUAUAAUAAAUUAUAGUUCAUUCUGAGGCCAGGGGCUCUGUUUUCUUUAUCUUAGUGCUUAUGGCAGAAAGACUGGCAAAUAUGAAUAAUAGGUGCUCAGAAAGUGCGUUUUAAAUGGAAUUUUGAGAAAGUGUCCCAAAUAACAUUAAGGAGAAUCCUGGGCUUUUUCAUGAGCUUCCCCAGAUUUGCCUGACUGGCCUCCGAGCUGCUUGCAGAAGGUACAGCUCUGGUGGUGCGCACCUUCUCCUAUGGGAUAACUGCCUCAGGCAUGGCCUCCAUUCUGCCCACAAAGUGAGAGCUGUAGCAGAACUGGUUCUCAAGUCAGUCCAACCAGACUGUGGAGUCUUUAGCACCUCCUCCGACUUUCAGAUGCAGAGAUAGCACUGUGCCUCAGGAUGUGGCUUCCCCAGUGGCUGCCUGGAGGGGUCUUUGGUUACACAGCCUGGGCGUGCUGGAGAAUUAUCACUCUGUAAGGUCUACUUGGACUAAGGAGAGAUAGGAGGUGCAAAGGAGCCGUAUGUUAAGUCAUCUCCCUCACUCCUGGUGGACCACUCUGUGCACCAUAAUUCCAUACAACCCGGUCAAGCAACCCACUGUGUGAUCUCAUGAAGCUGUAGCCCGCUUCCUGAUGCCCCACUUUGCACUUGCUUUCUCUCCAUCCCUGAUUAACUUCCUUUUUACUCACUCUUGCCGCUCUGGAAUUGUACUUCCUUCCUUCUAAUACAGUAUUAGGCCAGGUGUGGUGGUUCACACCAGCAUUUUGGGAGGCCAAGACAGGAGGAUCGCUUGAGGCCAGGAGUUCAAAUCCAGUCUGAUCAACAUAGCGAGACCCUGUCUCUACAGAAGAAGAACAAACAACAAAUGAAAAAGUAGUCGGGCAUAGUGGUGUGUGCCUGGAGACCCAGACACCUGGGAAGCUAAGGUGGGAGGAUCACUCGAACCCAGGAGUUGGCUACAGUAAGCCAUGAACAAACAUUCUGUUUGUUUAAGGAAACUAUUAUCCAUGGGGGCAUUUCUUAAAAAUUCAAUCGGUUCAUUUAAAAAAUAAUCUUAGAGGAGGUGAAGUGAGGUCUCAAGGGCAGCAAAUUAACUCCUAGGAUAAGCAAACAUUUAAUUGUCCUUGAUUUUUAAAAAUUAUCAGUUUAAGCUUGAUAAUGAUUCCUUUAAAGUGACAUUAUUUCCCAACACAUCAAGCCUGUGCUGACAAGUUUCUUGAAAGAGAGUUGGAAGAAUAAUUGGAAGAUGCAUAAUUAUUCUUUGCUUGAUGUUUGGCUAUCUUAAUGUGAUCUGAUGUCAAUAAAACUUACAGCUAAUGAUACA